rnacentral:tRNA from 1 species
GGAGAGAUGGCCGAGUGGACUAAGGCGCACGCCUGGAGAGCGUGUGGGCGGCUUGUUUCCGUCCCGUGGGUUCAAAUCCCACUCUCUCCGCCA